AUUGAACGCUGGCGGCAGGCCUAACACAUGCAAGUCGAGCGGAGAGAGGUAGCUUGCUACUGAUCUUAGCGGCGGACGGGUGAGUAAUGCUUAGGAAUCUGCCUAUUAGUGGGGGACAACAUUUCGAAAGGAAUGCUAAUACCGCAUACGUCCUACGGGAGAAAGCAGGGGAUCUUCGGACCUUGCGCUAAUAGAUGAGCCUAAGUCGGAUUAGCUAGUUGGUGGGGUAAAGGCCUACCAAGGCGACGAUCUGUAGCGGGUCUGAGAGGAUGAUCCGCAACACUGGGACUGGGACACGGCCCAGACUCCUACGGGAGGUAGCAGUGGGGAAUAUUGGACAAUGGGCGCAGGCCUGAUCCAGCCAUGCCGCGUGUGUGAAGAAGGCCUUAUGGUUGUAAAGCACUUUAAGCGAGGAGGAGGCUACUUUAGAUAAUACCUAGAGAUAGUGGACGUUACUCGCAGAAUAAGCACCGGCUAACUCUGUGCCAGCAGCCGCCGUAAAAC
rnacentral:rRNA from 1 species